rnacentral:rRNA from 1 species
AGUGAACGCUGGCGGCAGGCCUAACACAUGCAAGUCGAACGGCAGCACAGGAGAGCUUGCUCUCUGGGUGGCGAGUGGCGGACGGGUGAGGAAUAUAUCGGAAUCUACCCUUUCGUGGGGGAUAACGUAGGGAAACUUACGCUAAUACCGCAUACGAACUGAGGUUGAAAGCGGCGGACCGCAAGGCGUCGCGCGGAUGGAUGAGCCGAUGUCCGAUUAGCUAGUUGGCGGGGUAAAGGCCCACCAAGGCGACGAUCGGUAGCUGGUCUGAAAGGAUGAUCAGCCACACUGGAACUGGGACACGGUCCAGACUCCUACGGGAGGCAGCAGUGGGGAAGAUUGGACAAUGGGCGCAAGCCUGAUCCAGCCAUGCCGCGUGUGUGAAGAAGGCCUUCGGGUUGUAAAGCACUUUUGUUGGGAAAGAAAAGCGGUCGGUUAAUACCCGGUCGUUCAGACGGUACCCAAAGAAUAAGCACCGGCUAACUUCGUGCCAGCCGCCGCUGUAAAAC